rnacentral:tRNA from 1 species
UCCCUGGUGGCUCAGAGGUUAAAGCAUCUGACUGCAAUGCAGGAGACCUGGGUUCGAUCCCUGGGUUGGGAA